GAGAACAGUCUGGAAGACAAUGACAGAGUGCUUGCCUGGGGAGUCGGAGGAGCUCCGGUUAUGUCCAAGCCGAACCCCUGGAGCCUCUGGACUGCCUGGCACUGAGGGAGCGGGAACUGGACGGUGGGCAUGUGGCCGGGAGGAGCCUUCCAACCAGAAGAAACUAAGUUUUCAAGUUUCCUGCUGUGUCAUCUCAACUGGAAAGUGUCGUCCCCCAGGAAGUCUCCUGCCCUCCCUCUCUGCACAGGGAGCCGCUUCCCACUCUGUCCUUCGAUGGACACGCUGAUGCAGCUGGGAAUGAGCUUGGAAACGCUAACUGACCAGAGUGAUUUCUGGGCCCUGAGUGCAUUACAGAUGGAGAAAGCUUCUGAAUUCUCUAUGGAACUCCAGGCCUGACCUUGGGAUGGGAGACGGGCGGCUGGGCGCACAAGGAAAGAGGCCUCGCCUUGCGCCACGGAGGAGGUGGGGAGCAAUCAGCCGGCCCCAGGCUGGAACCUGAGGAACCCAAAACACCAAACGCUGGGGAAACUUUCCCUUCCUUUUUUCCAAACAUAUGUUCAAGCUGGGGGUCUGAAUAUGCAGUGGGCUGCCCUAUUUCCCAACCUGGCUUUGGGGAAGUAAGUCAACACAGGCAGUUGCUGAGUUUGCUUACUCUGUGCAACUUGUGUGGUAACCAGCAGCUAUCAAUACACUUUACAGGUGUGCUGGAAGAUAGUUAUUUCAAGGAAAACAAUGAUUCUUUUUAGAAAGUAAACUUCUGAAGGAGGCAUCAAAACUUUGAAUUUUGAUGCAGCAUUUUUUUUUUUUUUUUGAGAUGGAGUCUUGCUCUGUUGCCUAGCCUGGAGUGCAGUGGCACAACCUCGGUCACUGCAACUUCUACCUCCUGGGUUCAAGCAAUUCUCCUGCCUCAGCCUCCUGAGUAGCUGGGAUUACAGGCACCCACCAUCAUGCCCGGCUAAUCUUUGUAUUUUUGUAGAGACAGGGUUUCACUAUGUUGGCCAGGCUGGUCUUGAACUCCUGACCUUAGGUGAUCCACCCACCUUGGCCUCCCAAAGUGCUGGGAUUACAGGCGUGAGCCAUUGUGCCUGGCCUGACGCAGCAUAUUUUUAAAGACAGGAUGCACAUGUAAUUUGGAGAGAGAUGGCCGAUUCCAAAAUAUUGCAGGUACGAUGGCAUCCUUCAAUGAUAAAUACUUCCCAAAUGGUCCUGUGAGCACUCCCAACUUCCUCCUCUGGCCAGUAGCCUUUCAAGCCAAGACCUCAAACCAGCAGGAUUUUAUUUUAACUGUAAGGAGAGGACAAAGGCCAUGGAACGAUGCCAUCCAGGCUGCCCUUGGCCGGCCUCACUGCCCCUAUCUGCAGGAGGCUCAGGAAGGUUUCCAAAUGCCCAGAGUAGUGUGGCUCGAGUGCUUCUCGGAGUCAUUCUCACCCUACUCACCGGAAGUGGGAAGGACAGGAGAACUGUCAGUCAGGUCGGCCAUGGAGGUCAAAGGCAGCCCUGUUGAGAAUGUGCGGAUGUUUGUCCUUCCAGAUGGUCCAGACAAGGGAUGGCACAGAUUUCAUUCCCGCAUUGUCUUUUGACCGCAGGUGCUACCCCGAGCACUGUCUGGGGAGGAUUUCAAGGCUGUGCCCAGGCCACCCCUGAUGGAUGCAUCAGUCACUUCAGCCAUGGUGCCGGCAGGGAGCCCAAGCGCGGGAGCAUCCUCUGUCGUCCUCGCAGCCGGGACCCUCUCAUUUCCUGUCUGCACAGCAGCCCCGGCGUGUUCCUCUGUGAAAGCCAGGAGCACGGGGGUGACGCCUUCUGGGCCUGCCACUGUUCCUUCAGAAGCGACCUUUGACCUCCCCAUCAGCCUGUGCUGCUAGGUCUGGGGUCAUUUUCUGCUCAGAUAUCUCCUCUCCCUGACGAUCGAUUCCCCCUGGAGGGGUGAGCCACUGUCGGGAGGGGAGACGGAGCUGAGCAUGCAAGGAAGGGCAACCCCAGCCCAGAUCCUGGAGGGCUUUGGGCUUCCAGGUAGAAGCCGGUCUUCGCGUCAGCAAACCAAGAAAAUGCCUCCCUGAAAUGGUCUCCAGGUCCCCCCAAACACCUGCCUCCCCCUCCAGCCUUCUCCACUGAUGCCUGCAGCUGCAUAAGUAGUGUUUCAUUGCACCCCAGCAGGAGCUGGUACCGGUUCUUCCCUUGCCUCAUGCUGGGGUAGAUUUUAUUUAGGAUUGGGAGCAGGGAAAGGAGCUAGAGAAAGGAAGGGUUCCAGGAAGCUGGGAAGGGAGAUGUCAGGUGGGGUGAUGGGAAAGGAGGCCAAGGACCACCUUUGCCUGUAUGGUGGGCUGAACUGUGUCCCCACAAAAGAUAGGGCGUCCUAACCCCAGAUACCUGUGAAUGUGACCUUAUUUGGGAAUAGAGUUUUUGCAAAUGGAAUCAAGUCAUGAUGACGUCAUUAGCAUGAGCCUUAAUUUAAUAGGAUUGAUGUCCUUCUAAGAAGAGAAGACAGGGACACACAGGAGAAAGCCAUGUGAUGAAGCAGGCAGGAGCUGGAGCGACACUACCACAGGCCAAGGAACAUUGGGACCAGAAGAGGCGAGGAGGGGCCGUUCCCUAGAGGCUUUGGAGAGAGCAUGGCUCAUCAACACCUUGACUUCAGACUGGUAGCCCCCAAACGGUGACAGAAUAAUUGUCUAUUGUUUUAAGCCCCCUGGCUUAUAGUACGUUGUAAAGGCAGCCCUAGGAAGCCCUAAGCCAGUUUCACUCAUUAUGAUAAAUAUCAUAGAUGAUGACUGUCAUAUAUUGGAUGUGCUGGAGAUCUUCACAGCCACAGAAUAAACUGCAGGCCAAAAAAAGAACAUUCAUAUGAGGUCCCCAGCAGGGGCUGGCUGUGCAAGUCAGAGACUGCAGAACCAGGUAGGCAGACAAAGCGAAAUUGCCUGGAGCUGGACACAUAUGUGCACCACUGGGAAAUAAAUAGACUUGCGGUGGAAAUGACCAACGUGGAUGGCCAGGGAAAUGCCAGCAGCAAUAAAAGAAAAGAGUGCACAAGGCCUGUAAAUCAGCAGAUGCGAGAGCUCCCGAAAAGUAGCGAAGUCUGAAAUAAAAGGCAGGCUCAGGCUGGUGGUCCAAGAAGUUAAAGCAGGAAAUGAGAGCGUGGGCACUGUGUGUGCUGGGCUCCCAAAGACUGCAGGGAGUGGCCAGAUGUCUCCAGAGGCAGCGUCAUGUGGAGCAAAGGGGACCUGAGGAGUGUCAGCAUCCUCAGUCACCUCCUCCUUUGAACCAGCUGUUCGGAAUCUGGUCUCUUACUUAGGAUAAUUGUAGGAACUGACUUUUUUUUUUUUUCUUUUCUCACCUAUUGGCUGACUGAAAGAACCGACUUUUAAAUGAGCACCUCCCUCAUUAGAAUUGCUCAAAUGACAACAGCUGCAGCGGUGGGAGCAGCAGCAAGUUUGAAAAUCCAACAGUCUGCAUUCCACAGUGACAGUAUUCUUGGUCACCUCGGAGACAUGGCAGCCGGGAGCCACGGCUCUCAUUGCUCGGGGUUGGUUGGGUUACCAGCCCUAGGGCUACAGAAUGUAUCUAAAAGAGAGGCUUGGCUGGCAGUUUAAGAGGGGUGCAGGACAGCAGGAUGGGGUUCAUGAGGCAAGAGUGGAUGGAGCCUGUGGCCCAGUUGGGAUGAGAUGGGACAGUUCCAAUGGGCAGGACAAACCCCAGCCACCGUCUCAGGGUAUUUGACAGGAGGUAAACAGCAGACAAAAUCCUGGAGCACAGGGGGGCAGGGCUGUCUCGUUCCCAUGAAUGGCAACAUUGGAGGACUGACCCCCAAGAGCGUGGUUUUGUCGUCAGCCUCAAAGGCAUGGCUUUCUCUCUGGCGUUGGCAGCAGCCGCUCAGCACCAUAGCUAGGGAGCAGCGGCCUAGAUCCCUCACAUUUAUUUCACUUUGACUCUUUUGACCAAAGCACCACUGUUUAAGGCCUCAUUUUUCUUCUCCCAUGUGGAAAAUCAUAUUGCUUAAAUUUAAAAAUGAAGAUAGAUAGAUGGAUGAAAAAAUCCCCAUAGAGCAAAAUUCUGCCUGUGACAAAAAGGUCUCCACGUCUGAGGUGACAGUCAACUUCAAGUGACGCCAAGAACAUCAAAAUCUCUCUAUAAAAAAAGAAUAGGAAGCAAUGGGGCUCGUGAAAAUGCCACAUCAAGAAAAGUCAACAAAUACAUACUUAGUGGUAACUAUGGUUGCAGAGAAAGAGAAAACUUAAAACAAUAUGAACAUAUGUGGUCAUAUAGACUGAAAACCCACCGUGUCAUAAAACCCCAGGACACAGAACGCAUCAGCGUAGACAGCAGCUGUACAGACAAUGCUGGGGCGGUUGUGGAGUGGGAUUAGAAGACAGGAGGCGCCAUCGAGUCAGCUCCAAGGCCAUUAGCCUUGUGACGCCAGCAAAAUGUCUUCAAAAGUCACUGGAUUUUUCAAUGAGAAGGAGAAGUUAGGCAGCUACCAAAUAGCUGAAAGAAUAUUAAAUCUGAUGGAUCCAGCCAAAUAAAAAUGUUCAUUCAUAGGAUCUGUGGUUGUUGAGGAAUCUUCUAAGUUUCAUAAAUGGCAAAAACUCUUUCUCAGACUUACAGAUCAGACCUCACAUAUGCAUGAGAAGAGAAGCUAUUUUUGUCUCUGGGUUCCAGUUACACAGCCACAGCCUGGAAGCUUUGUUCUCAGAAUUCAUGCUGUCAUCAAAAGGACUCAAUACAAACACUGCAGCCAGCCUGCCAUGGCUUAGCUGUGACCGCAGCUGCAAACUCUUCUGUCAUGUGAAAACUUUUGGCUUUUUCCGGGUGUGGAAUGCCUGUUGGUCCCAGCUCCGCCUGCCUUUCCUCCUUCUGGAAUCGUGUCCAUCCUUUCAGUCAACUCAGUUUGUCCGCAUCUUCCAGGCCUCAUACCUCCGCCUGAUCUGCAUGGCAGUGGUGGGCUUGCUCUUUGUGCUAUUACACUGACUGUGAUCGUGUUUAGUGAGUCAGCUUCUACAAAGUUGACCUGCACCUGUGUGAUGUCUCUCCCUAGCUGGAUGCAGCUUCUCCAUGGGCUAAGUUCAUCAUGUUAACAGUGCCUGCCCCACAGGCCCUCAGGGGAUCUUAGUGGGUGGUCUAUGGAGAGACUUUAGUGGGUAUAUGAAUCCCCAAAAUUGUAGGCAAAGUUUGUGUAUGCUGUGGCCUAUCGACAGCGGGGACUCUGCCGCUGAUUUCUCCUAAGAAGCCUCCUGGGGGUUUGAGCGAAUCGUGGUGGUCUCCUUCCCUCUGGAGUGAUUAGUUUUGGCUUUGGCUCAACAUGGUGCAGACCCAUGGGAUCCAAAGGGAAGUUGGCCGGGCAUUUCUGGGAAGGAUGUCUCUUCUUCUGAUUUCUGAGUGAGGGUAGGAAGCCCUCUUCUUCAUCAGACGCCAUGGCUCUUACACGAAUGAUGCCUAGAGCAGACACAGCCCUUCCAGGACCAGAGGCCAAGGCUGACAAUGGGACAAGAGGGCGGAGGAAGAAGUGGGGAGCACCUAAGCCUUCCUCUGACCAAGCACUGUCCUAACCAAUUCUGAUUGGUUCACUUCUAGUUACAUGAUAUAAUAAACGUCCUAUUUCUUAAGGCACUUUUAACAUGAGUGCAGCAUUUUAGAGUUUCAUCAGGUGAUCCACUGGAUCUGAGUCUCUGCUCAGGCUUAAGGAUGCCCAUAAAAGGUGCCCAAUUAAAUGUUGAUUGGUUGAUUGGCACACAGAGAAUCGCUGGAAGUGCCGCUGAGUCAUCCAGGUGCUAAGAGAGCUUGCCAGGCCUGUCUAGAGGAGGUUGGCCAACUGGAGUGUGUUGUUCUCCCACUCAAGUCCACUGCCCAGUGCUGCCAGGUGUGGGAGAGCAACUCAGAGAGGGCUGGAUGUUAGACCAAGCAAGGUCUUGAGAGUGUCACGCUCAGGGAGAUGCCCAAGAGGGGACCAGCUGGCUGUUUGUGUGGGUGUUUCCUCACUGGGUAAACAGGAGAGAAUCCUCCUUAUCAAGGGCCUGUAGAGUAGAUGGACUUAAGCUUUUGCACCCACUCUGGCUGAGCUGUAGUGUUAAGAAGGAUUCUGAAGCUGUGUCCAUAUUUAACUGGAAACUGUGCCGUGAUUAUUAGUUAAGUGUCCCAUGGAUACAAAUGGAAAGAAUCGAGGCAUUCACGCCAGUGAUUCAUCCCCCCUGUCUAGGGUCUGGUUCUCGGCUUUUUAGAUCAGGAGACUCAGGGAGCCCCUUCAAAGUAGAUACCCACUUCAAAAGUGGGUUCAUCUAUCUCCUGGAAAAUGCCCCACUCCCUUUGAUAGACUGUUCUGCUCAAAAACAUCUUCUGACUGAGCACAGUGGCUCACGCCUUUAAUUCCAGCACUUUGGGAGGUUGAGAUGGGCAGAUCCCUUGAGCCCAGAAGUUUGAGACCAGCCUGGGCAAUAUGGUGAGACCCUGUCACUACAAAAAAAUAAAAACAAUUAGCCAGGUAUGGUGAUACAAGCCUGUAGUCCCAGCUACUUGGGAGGCUGAGGUGGGAGGAUCAGCUGGCCCCAGAGGUCAAGGCUGCAGUGAGCUGAGAUCAUGCCACUUGCACUCCAGCCUGGGUGACAGAGUGAGGUUUUGUCUAAAAAAUUAAAUGAAUAAGUACAUAAAUAGGUCUCUGAGGCUGAGGACAGGCAUCCUCCGGGGAUGGGUGGCGCUGUCUGAAGCUGUCUUCCUCUGUCAACUAACAAGCUGGCACCAGAAAUUCCAGGUGGUCUCCUGGGCACUCGGUGGACCCUCAGCUCUUCCUCGGACGGUGGUGGGCAGUCUUGGACACAUCUCCUUUUUUGGAUCCCGUGAGGAAGAGUGUGACCUUUCUGCUUGGCACUUGGCUCAUCAGCCUGAUGCGCGCAUAGCGUGGUAGAGGGCCAGGUGCACAGACGUGGUGCUGUGACCCUGGGGAAAGCUGUCUCGGGGCCCACGUCUCCCAUGCAGAAUGAAGGGCCCCCUGCAGAUCUGCUCCAUGUGCCGUGGAGUUGCUGGUUCUGAUUAGGGAAUGGUUUCCUUUAGUCCCUCCGGGUCUAGGAAUGCUCUCUGCCCACCUGGACACUGUUGGGUGAGCACAGGAUAAACAUCACGAAAUGAAGAGUGCCAUCUGCAGAGCCAAGAAGCAGAGGCUCGCUUGGAGAAGGACAGGACUGGGCCUAGAAGGGUUUGGCGGGUGGCUCUGCCUGGCCAUUUGGGGACAGGAAAGGAGAGGGAACCCCAAGUAAUGGGAGCGGCCUGAACAAAGGCCAGGACAGGAUGUAGGGCUUGCUUGGGGCCUGGUGACUGAGGCCCCAUUUGCCUGGCCGAGGGUCUGUGUUCUACUCAGGGUUGAGAAGUAGGGAAGGAUUGGAGGAGGUUAAGGACUUGAGGAAAAUGAGACUUUAGGAAGACUCCUGUGGCUGCUGGGGGUGGGAGGGAGAGGAGGGACUCCAGAGAGGCAGAGAACUGUCCAGGAGGGGGUGAGUCUUGGGCUGAGGGUGCUGGCUCCAUGCUGGGGGUUCAUACCAGAGGCCGCCAGGAGCUCAGGUGAGGGCUGCUGCGGAACUCCCCUUCCUUGGCCAGGCCUCCCUCCCCUCCUUUCCCUUCCCAGGUGUGCUGACGACUCGGUGGACUCAGGUGGUGCUGGCCUCCCGUGCUCAGGGACUGAGAGCUGGUUGCUCCUUCCUACACAGCCCCUCUUUGAGAGACUGCAAACCUACCCCCAGGCAGGCAGAGCUGGGGGACGGGGAGUCAGCCACCGAUGUGCUUGAAGCAAAGCAGAUGGUGCUCUUGGCUCAAUGGAGGUGGCCGAAGGACAUGACCUUCCCCUCCGGCCUUUCUUUUGGGAAAGGAAGUCUUUGGUAGUUUGUAGCAACUGAAUAAAUCUUGUCAUUUU
rnacentral:lncRNA from 1 species